rnacentral:rRNA from 1 species
UACGGGGGGGAGCAAGCGUUGUUCGGAUUUACUGGGCGUAAAGGGCGCGUAGGCGGUCAGCACAAGUCAGUUGUGAAAUCUCCGGGCUUAACUCGGAAAGGUCAACUGAUACUGUGCGACUAGAGUGCAGAAGGGGCAACUGGAAUUCUCGGUGUAGCGGUGAAAUGCGUAGAGAUCCGGAGGAACACCAGCGGCGAAGGCGGCAUCCUGGACUGGUCCUGACACUCAGGAGCGAAAGCGUGGGGAGCGAGUCCGG